rnacentral:rRNA from 1 species
GGAAAAGAAACUAACAAGGAUUCCCCUAGUAACUGCGAGUGAAGCGGGAAAAGCUCAAAUUUAAAAUCUGGCGGCUCCGUCGUCCGAGUUGUAAUCUGGAGAAGCGUCUUCCGCGUCGGACCGUGUACAAGUCUCCUGGAAGGGAGCGUCGUAGAGGGUGAGAAUCCCGUCUUUGACACGGACCACCGAUGCUUCUGUGAUGCGCUCUCGAAGAGUCGAGUUGUUUGGGAAUGCAGCUCAAAAUGGGUGGUAAAUUCCAUCUAAAGCUAAAUAUUGGCGAGAGACCGAUAGCGAACAAGUACCGUGAGGGAAAGAUGAAAAGCACUUUGGAAAGAGAGUUAAACAGUACGUGAAAUUGUUGAAAGGGAAACGUUUGAAGUCAGUCGCGUCGGCCGAGACUCAACCUUGCUUGUUGCUUGGUGCACUUCUCGGUGGACGGGUCAGCAUCAGUUUUGACCGUCGGAUAAAGGUCAGGGGAAUGUGGCACCUUCCGAGGUGUGUUAUAGCCCUUGGUUCGGAUACGGCGGUCGGGACUGAGGAACUCAGUGUGCCUUUAUGGUCGGGGUAUCAACCCACGUAACACACUCAGGAUGCUGGCAUAAUGGCUUUAAGCGACCCGUCUUGAAACACGGA